ACAUUAACACAACAAUUUUCCUUAUUGCUAUAUAAUACACAGGAAUACACUAUCCUACACAUCUGUACCGAGUUUCAAGUCAAUGGGAGCAAUAGUUUAUGAGAAGAGUGACCGUGCCGGGAGGCUGAGCGGAGCGGAGGCUGGGGGCACAGUGGGGGGGCAUCUACUGAGCCACGCUGGGUGGAGCCAGUGUGGUUAUGUGGCCUGACGGGGGCAGCCUUUCAUUUUUGAGAUAUUUGUAUUUACAAAGAAUACCAUCAUUAUACAACAAAAUUCUGGUAACUGCAGUUUACAUUUAUUUGUUUAGCACUUUUAUCCAAAGCAACAUACACAAACUCCAUAAAUGUAUUUCUGCCAUUAAUCAAACUUGCAUUUGGAUGGUAACUAUAAGAAAUUUCAAUGCACCUACUGCACACUACAGGUUAAGGCAAUAGAAUUAAAUUCCUGAUAUACCGUUAAAAUGACUUUGACAUGAAAUGAAAGCUGCUGUAGACUCCUUCAACUCAGUACCUGCCCCUUUAAAUCACAUUGACGUCCAUCACAAAAGUGACUAACCAGGAAUUACAUGUCGACAUUCCGCAAUAAGGUCUAAAUGAAUGAAAACAUCAAGGAACUCAAUACAGCCUUUGCACAGUGCAAUCACAACUCAACAUUAGAAAAAGCCCUUUGAAUCUGUACAUAUGGCAUGGCUUUUCUAUCACAGAGGUUGGAAGAAAAGACAAGCUUUAAGAAAUAAUUUCAUCAGCUGAGUGCAAUAAGACCAGAAUAUCUCUAC